UACGGAGGGUGCGAGCGUUGUUCGGAAUUACUGGGCGUAAAGCGCGUGUAGGCGGCCUUCUAAGUCUGGUGUGAAAGCCCGGGGCUCAACCCCGGAAGUGCAUUGGAUACUGGACAGCUAGAGUGCGGUAGAGGGUAGUGGAAUUCCCGGUGUAGCAGUGAAAUGCGUAGAGAUCGGGAGGAACACCAGUGGCGAAGGCGGCUACCUGGACCAGCACUGACACUGAAGCACGAAAGCGUGGGGAGCAAACAGG
rnacentral:rRNA from 1 species